rnacentral:rRNA from 1 species
ACAGCAGCCGCCGCGGUAAUACGGAGGAUCCAAGCGUUAUCCGGAAUCAUUGGGUUUAAAGGGUCCGUAGGCGGUCUUGUAAGUCAGUGGUGAAAGCCCAUCGCUCAACGGUGGAACGGCCAUUGAUACUGCAGGACUUGAAUUAUUGGGAAGUAACUAGAAUAUGUAGUGUAGCGGUGAAAUGCUUAGAGAUUACAUGGAAUACCAAUUGCGAAGGCAGGUUACUACCAAUUGAUUGACGCUGAUGGACGAAAGCGUGGGUAGCGAACAGGAUUAGAUACCCGCGUAGUCCCUGUCUCUUAUAA